rnacentral:lncRNA from 1 species
UGGGAUGGAGAAAGGGGGGGUCCUCCCCUUCCACCCCCCCUCCCUCCUAGGUGGCGCAUGCGUCCUGGCUCAGGGCUGCUCGUCGGGCCAGCGGAGGGAGGGAGCCGCCGGGAGCGCUCGGGUGCCGCCGCCUGUUGCACCAGCGCCCCGUGCCGCCAGCCAUUGUCCCCCGCUCCCCGCCGCUGCAGGAGGCCAAGCAGCCCCGCCCGCGGGGUCUCUCUCAGAUUUUAAUAUCAGAAAAUUGGUGUCUCUGAUGAGAACUUUGUGUAGGACCCGUAUAUUGCUUUCUGCUGCGAUUCUCUGUGCUUGACUUGGAGGUCUUGAAAGAAGCUGCACGCUGCUGCAUGCAGUUACAAUAAGAAAGAGUCUCAUGUCUGCCGCUGCUGAAUGAACGUCCCAGUAUUUGCCUUCUAGUGGCAGCAUGUGGUUCUGUUAUGCCUGAGACCGGAUACAGCUGGGAAGCAAGCAUCACCUGAGGAAAUGCUGCACAUGAAACUUUUUUUAAGUGAUCAUUUUAGCAGGAAACCGUAAACCAAAGCAAGUUGUUUAAACAUUGAAGUUCACAAACACAUCAUCUUAAAAGUCUUUACUUUGCAACUCAGCCUUGUUGUUAUCUGCAUGCUGCAUUAUCAUAGCUUAAAGUGUUCUGCCAUGUUGUUUUUAAAGUGUCAGUCUUAGUUCCCUCUCCCUCAGCUCUUUACCACUGUGGUCAAUGACUCUUAAUGGUGGUGACGUGUCCUUUAUGUGUUUGCAAAAAUCUUCUCUGGUCAUACUUUUUUUUAACCACAGCAUCUGUCCUCCAACAUCCUGUCCCCAACCAGGAAGGUUCAAACCCCCAUAAUGGACAAUUAUAUAUUAACAUGGCUGUAGGAGGCGGGUGGGGGAGAGUCUUUCUGACCUCUUGCAGUUUGUGAUUGGCUUCUGUCUCGAAACAUGUGGGUUGAUCUUCUAGAUAGAUGUUUAUCCUGAACUCAUAUAAAUGCAGCUCUCUGCUUAUUCAUAGAAACAUCUAAGCCUUUUUAGGAAUGCUACUAAACUUUUUGCCUUAUAAUAUAUUUUGGCAGUGUCCCCUACAGGUUAACUAUGUAAAGCAUUUCUAUUGUUUACUUUGUUCUCUUCUCAUUUAAUUAAUUUUGUUCCCUUUAUUACAUGAGUCAAUAAAUAUUACCUGAUUGAGUUUCUCCA